rnacentral:rRNA from 1 species
AUGGACGAAAGUCUGACGGAGCAACGCCGCGUGAGUGACGAAGGCCUUCGGGUCGUAAAGCUCUGUUGUUAGGGAAGAACAAGUACCGUUCGAACAGGGCGGUACCUUGACGGUACCUAACCAGAAAGCCACGGCUAACUACGUGCCAGCAGCCGCGGUAAUACGUAGGUGGCAAGCGUUGUCCGGAAUUAUUGGGCGUAAAGCGCGCGCAGGCGGUCUCUUAAGUCUGAUGUGAAAGCCCACGGCUCAACCGUGGAGGGCCAUUGGAAACUGGGGGACUUGAGUGCAGAAGAGGAGAGUGGAAUUCCACGUGUAGCGGUGAAAUGCGUAGAUAUGUGGAGGAACACCAGUGGCGAAGGCGGCUCUCUGGUCUGUAACUGACGCUGAGGCGCGAAAGCGUGGGGAGCAAACAGGAUUAGAUACCCUGGUAGUCCACGCCGUAAACGAUGAGUGCUAGGUGUUGGGGGGUUCCACCCUCAGUGCUGAAGUUAACACAUUAAGCACUCCGCCUGGGGAGUACGACCGCAAGGUUGAAACUCAAAGGAAUUGACGGGGGCCCGCACAAGCAGUGGAGCAUGUGGUUUAAUUCGAAGCAACGCGAAGAACCUUACCAGGUCUUGACAUCCUCUGCCACUCCUAGAGAUAGGACGUUCCCC